UGUGUCCUACGGGGCGCAGCAGUGAGGAAUAUUGGUCAAUGGUCGGGAGACUGAACCAGCCAAGCCGCGUGAGGGAUGAAGGUACAGAGUAUCGUAAACCUCUUUUGUCAGGGAACAAAGGCGGGGACGCGUCCCCGGAUGAGUGUACCUGAAGAAAAAGCAUCGGCUAACUCCGUGCCAGCAGCCGCGGUAAUACGGAGGAUGCGAGCGUUAUCCGGAUUUAUUGGGGUUAAAGGGUGCGCAGGCGGUCUGUUAAGUCAGCGGUAAAAGCCCGGGGCUCAAACCCGUGCCGCCGUUGAAACUGG
rnacentral:rRNA from 1 species